CCUGGGGGCAGCCAGAUGAGAGCCUGCCAGAAGAAAGGACUCACCACAGGGACUACAGCUGAAAACCUGAAACGUCCUUUGGCAGGAAAGCACAAAUAUCUGGUGAGACAGGAUGAGAACAUGAAACCUCUGCUACGGCCACUGCAAGAAUAUUGGUUAUUACACAGUGUCCACACUGUGAGAACAUUGACUUUGACAUUCUAGAGGAGGGCAGAACCACAUAUAGAAGAAGCCUGGAUCCCUGAAUGACUGCAUGGAUUCAACACAGCACCUAUACACACACCUGCCCUCUGUGCCCCGAUAAUCUACACUAGAGGACGAGCGAGCAGGAAGAAUGUCGUAGAUGUUGCAUCUGUUUUUCUGGAAGACU
rnacentral:lncRNA from 10 species